UACGAAGGGGGCAAGCGUUGUUCGGAAUUAUUGGGCGUAAAGGGUUCGUAGGCGGUGUGGCAAGUCGGGAGUGAAAUCUCUGGGCUCAACCCAGAGUCUGCUUCCGAAACUGCUGUGCUUGAGUGUGGGAGAGGCGCGUGGAAUUGCAGGUGUAGCGGUGAAAUGCGUAGAUAUCUGCAGGAACACCCGUGGCGAAAGCGGCGCGCUGGACCACUACUGACGCUGAGGAACGAAAGCUAGGGGAGCAAACAGG
rnacentral:rRNA from 1 species